rnacentral:piRNA from 1 species
UAUCACCGGGUGAAUCCACUAAUGGGGUA